rnacentral:rRNA from 1 species
UUCGGGGGAAAGAUUUAUCGCCUUUAGAGCGGCCCGCGUCUGAUUAGCUAGUUGGUGAGGUAAAGGCUCACCAAGGCGACGAUCAGUAGCUGGUCUGAGAGGAUGAUCAGCCACAUUGGGACUGAGACACGGCCCAAACUCCUACGGGAGGCAGCAGUGGGGAAUCUUGCGCAAUGGGCGAAAGCCUGACGCAGCCAUGCCGCGUGAAUGAUGAAGGUCUUAGGAUUGUAAAAUUCUUUCACCGGGGACGAUAAUGACGGUACCCGGAGAAGAAGCCCCGGCUAACUUCGUGCCAGCAGCCGCGGUAAUACGAAGGGGGCUAGCGUUGCUCGGAAUUACUGGGCGUAAAGGGAGCGUAGGCGGACAUUUAAGUCAGGGGUGAAAUCCCGGGGCUCAACCUCGGAAUUGCCUUUGAUACUGGGUGUCUUGAGUAUGAGAGAGGUGUGUGGAACUCCGAGUGUAGAGGUGAAAUUCGUAGAUAUUCGGAAGAACACCAGUGGCGAAGGCGACACACUGGCUCAUUACUGACGCUGAGGCUCGAAAGCGUGGGGAGCAAACAGGAUUAGAUACCCUGGUAGUCCACGCCGU